CAAUUUCUGUAGCACAUAAAGUGAAAGACGACAUUCAUUUUUUCCACAUCAGACAUGUCCUCCUAAUGCAGCUUCCUCCACUGGCCCUCCUGACAAAGAAAGCAAAGAAGAAGGCCUCAUUCAUCUCUGUGGUUACCACAUGGAGAAUGUUCAGCCUGUUCCAUCUACUGAAAGCAGAUCUGAUGAGCAGACAGCCACCUCCUUGGCAGUUUAUUAUGCAUUGGUCUUGAAACUAUGAAUCUGAUGGCAGCAUCCCAGCUUCUGAAUUGAAUGUAUAAUUUAAUUUAUACUCUCAUGCUUUCCAUUUCAAGAAUUGUA
rnacentral:lncRNA from 1 species